rnacentral:misc_RNA from 1 species
AGCUUCUUGUUCUUUAGCAUCAAGUCAUUAACAGAGCCACCUUCCAUCAAUUUGGUUACCACACAUAAGCCAUGAUUUUCAUCAACACAAACACCAUAAAAUUGAAGGAUAUUUUUAUGUCCGCAAGUCAUUAACUCCAAAAGGUCUUUGCGGAGUUCAAAGUCAUAAGAAUUCCCGUUGUCACAUCCUUUCAGCUUCUCAAUUCCAACCCUUUUGCCCUUGUAAACUCCCUUAAAAGAAUU